rnacentral:rRNA from 1 species
AUUGAACGCUGGCGGCAUGCUUUACACAUGCAAGUCGAACGGUAACAGGGUGCUUGCACCGCUGACGAGUGGCGAACGGGUGAGUAAUGCGUCGGAACGUGCCGAGUAGUGGGGGAUAACGCAGCGCAAGUUGUGCUAAUACCGCAUACGUACUGAGGUAGAAAGUGGGGGACCUUCGGGCCUCACGCUAUUCGAGCGGCCGACGUCGGAUUAGCUAGUAGGUGGGGUAAAGGCCCACCUAGGCGACGAUCAGUAGCGGGUCUGAGAGGAUAACCCGCCACACUGGGACUGAGACACGGCCCAGACCCCUACGGGAGGCAGCAGUGGGGAAUUUUGGACAAUGGGCGAAAGCCUGCUCCAGCCAUGCCGCGUGUCUGAAGAAGGCCUUCGGGUUGUAAAGGACUUUUGUCGGGGAGGAAAUCCCCAGCGUUAAUACCGCUGGGGGAUGACAGUACCUGAAGAAUAAGCACCGGCUAACUACGUGCCAGCAGCCGCGGUAA